GACGAACGCUGGCGGCGUGCUUAACACAUGCAAGUCAAGGACCGUAGCAAUACGGUACUGGCGCACGGGUGCGGAACACGUAGGCAAUCUGCCCGGAAAGGGAGAACAACCAGCCGAAAGGUUGGCUAAAUCUCCGUAAAAUCAUAGAGUGGCAUCACUUAUUGAUCAAGUUUUUUCGGAUGAGCCUGCGUCUGAUUAGAUAGUUGGCGGGGUAACGCCACCAAGUCUGCGAUCAGUAGCUGGUCUGAGAGGAUGAUCAGCCACAUUGGGACUGAGAUACGGCCCAGACUCCUACGGGAGGCAGCAGUGAGGAAUAUUGCUCGAAUGGGGGAAACCCUG
rnacentral:rRNA from 1 species